rnacentral:rRNA from 1 species
AAACUUAAAUGAAUUGACGGGGACCCGCACAAGCAGCGGAGCGUGUGGUUUAAUUCGUUGCUACACGAAGAACCUUACCUGGGUUUGACAUAUAGGUUGUAGGGAACUGAAAGGGACGACCUUCGGGGAGCCUAUACAGGUGUUGCAUGGCUGUCGUCAGCUCGUGUCGUGAGAUGUUCGGUUAAGUCCGCUAACGAGCGCAACCCUCGUCGUAUGUUAUAUGUGUCAUACGAGACUGCCGGUAAAAAGCCGGAGGAAGGUGAGGAUGAUGUCAAGUCAGCAUGACCUUUAUAUCCAGGGCUACACACACGCUACAAUGGUCUGUACAAUGGGUAGCCAAGCCGCGAGGCGGAGCCAAUCCUGAAAGCAGGCCUCAGUUCAGAUUGCAGGCUGCAACCCGCCUGCAUGAGGUUGGAGUUGCUAGUAAACGCAGGUCAGCCAUACUGCGUUGAAUACGUUCCCGGGGCUU